GAUCACUAUUACAUGGUAUAUAUAUCAGUCCAUCGAACCUACUAGAAUAACAAAAGCAGCUAACCCUAGAGGAAGCAAUGGAACAGUACAAUGCAUGAAGACAAAACUACUUAAUGUAAAAGCAAAAGCAGAACAGCUACACAAAGCUAUUCAGAAUGAAGGCACGUGCUAAACUUCAUGCUUCAGCUUUGAAUAUUUCUUCACUUCAUGUUGAGAUCUGAAACGCUGAGCUGGAGGAUUAUCUGACGUGGAAACCAGCUCGGAUAAGGAACAAUCUUUAACACGCUCCCUCAAUUCGAUCGCACCUAAAGAACAAACACUUAAGGCAUUCUUUAGGCGCGAGAAGAAUUGCAAGCUAAGAGCUUUAGUGAGGAUGUCUGCACAUUGAUCUUGUGAAGGCACAUGUCGGAGGUCAAUCAACCCAGCUGCAACCUUGUCUCGAACAAAAUGGAUAUCUAAUUCUAUGUGUUUUGUCCUUGCAUGCAUCACAGGGUUUGAUGCCAAGGAGAUGGUACUUAAAUUGUCCACCCAGACAAUAGGAGUCUUAACAUGUAUGUUAAGCUCACCAAGAAGGGACUUAAUCCAAGAAAUCUCUGCAACUACAUGAGCCAAACUUCGAUAUUCUGCCUCUGUACUCGAUCGAGAAACAACAGCUUGUUUCUUUGAACUCCAAGAGAUGAGGUUCUUCCCAAGAUAAACACAAUAUCCUGUGGUGGAUCUUCUGUCAUCAAGAUCAGCAGCCCAGUCAGAAUCACUGAAUCCAUUGAUAGCAAGAGAAGAUUUUUGCAAAUGUAUCCCAUGGUCUUUUGAUCCAGCUAAGUACCUUGUAUCCUCUUGACGGCUUUCCAGUGAAAAUCCAAAGGAGCAGACAUGUAUUGACUCACUUUGUUUACAGAAUAAGCGAUUUCUGGCCGAGUGAUGGUUGCAUAUUGGAGAGCUCCAACAGUACUUCUAUAUAGCUUGCCAUCAAUGUUACUUCUGCCUUCCCCCUUGGAAAGUUGGCAAGAGGAGACCAUAGGGGUAGGACAAGACUUGGCUUCAGCCAUUUUUAAUUUCUGCAAGAGAUCAUGUAUGUAACCAGCUUGACUUAGGUGAAGACCUUGAGCAGUGGGAGUAAUUUCAAUACCCAAGAAAUGAUGAACUUCACCUAAAUUUUUAAGAGAGAAAUGUGAAUGUAAUUGCUGAAUAACGGACUGAAUAUCUGAUGGAGAAGAACCAGUGAUAAGCAUAUCAUCCACAUAAAUAAGUAGAUACAUAAUGGAAGACCCUCGAGUUCUGUAAAAGAGAGAAGUAUCAGCUUUUGACUGAGAAAAUCCAAGGCGGAAGAGAACAGAUCGGAUGGUUAGAACCAAGAACGAGAAGCCUGUUUAAGGCCGUAGAGAGCCUUGUUGAGCUUGCAAACAAUAGGGGCAGAACCUGUGGUGGGAGGUUCAAAACCGGGAGGAGGCUUCAUGUAGAUUUCUUCUUGUAAGUCACCAUUAAGGAAAGCAUUGUCCACAUCCAUAUGAGUGACUUUCCAGUUAAAAUGAACAGCCAAGGAGAGAAUUAACCGUAUUGUAGCUGGUUUAACAACAGGGUUGAACGUCUCAUUGAAGUCAAAACCAGGUUGUUGGGAGAAGCCUUGGGCAACAAGCCUGGCUUUGUAAUGUGAAACAGAUCUGUCAGCAUUUCUCUUAAUCUUGAACACCCAUUUGCAUCCAAUGGCAUGCUUGCCAGGGGGUAGAGGACAGAAAACCCAAGUGCCUUUCUUAAUCAGGGCAUAUAUCUCCAAAUUCAUAGCUUCCAUCCAAACAGCAACUUUCAUAGCUUCUGCAUGUGUUUUAGGCUCAACAAAGAGAAAGUCAUAUUCAUCAGUAGCUUGAGCAGAAUAAAUCUUGGGUUUAAAAGUACCACUUUGGAUCGAGUAACCAUAGGGUGAGUAGCAGUGACAACAGGAGGAGGAUCAGUGUUAUUAGUAUUACUCAUAUCGGUUGAAACAGGAGUAAGGUUAGGGGAAGAUUGAGAAGAGGAACUGUGAGCAGAGAAUAGAUUGAGAAGAUGGAGUAGGAGGAGGAGAGGGAGGAUGAUGAGGGGAAUGAGGUGGUGAAAUUUGUUGUGGUGGUGUUAAGUAACAAGAGGAGGAGAAGUUGGGAAAACAGGAAAAUGAGAUGAAGAAUGGACAGUGGAUGAAGAACUUUGAUAAGGAAAAAUGUUCUCAUUGAAGAUAACAUCUCUACUUAUGACAAGCUUUCCAGACUGAAGAAGAACUUUGUAGCCCUUGUGCUGUGUGCUAUAACCUAUGAAAGUACCUGGAGAUGACCUAAACUGAAGUUUAUGGGAGUUAGAUGGCCUAAGGUUAGGAUAGCAGAGGCAGCCAAAAACUUUAAGGAGAGAAUAGUCAGGUUUGUGAUGGAAAAGAGACUGGUAUGGAGUAGAGUAUUGAAGUAUGGGAGUAGGAGUUCUAUUAAUAAGGAAAACCGAAGAUGUGAAGGCAUCAUCCCAGAAUUUGGUAGGCAAAUGAGAUUGAGCUAAGAGAGACAAGCCCAUUUCAACAAUAUGCCUAUGUUUCCUUUUAGCUAAACCAUUCUGUUGGGGUGUGUAAGGACAUGAUAUGCGAUGGAGUAUCCCAGUGUUUUGAAGAAAAGAAGUUAAGCCUUGAUAUUCACCACCCCAAUCUGUUUGAAGCAUUUUGAUUCUUUUAGAAAACUGAGUUUCCACCAUAGUUUUGAAGGUUUGAAAGACAGUGAGGACAUCAGACUUAUGUUUGAGAAGAUAUAUCCAAGUAAACCUACUGGAAUGAUCUAUAAAGGAAACAUAGUAAGAGAAGCCAUUUCUGGAAAGUACAGGAGCGGGCCCCCACAAAUCACUAUGAACGAGCUCAAGUGGUUCAUUAUGCAGAGAUAGAGAGUGAGUAUAGGGUAACCUAUGGAUCUUGGAAACAGAACAAGAAUGGCAGAAACUAGGAGAUUUCAUUGAUGUGAGAGGAAUAUUACAACUGUGAAGAACCUUUUUCAAAAUGUAAAAAGAACAAUGUCCUAGUCUUCUAUGCCAAACAUCUAAACAAGAAGUGGAAUCUACAUCAUUACAGCUAGAAAUGGAAAGAACAGCAGGACAAUGGGCUGCUCUUGAGCUUGAGUGCUCUUGAUUGAAAGGAAGGCUUGGCUUGGUGAAGUCUUGUGGAAAGCUUGGCUUGGUGGAGUCUUGUGUAAAGAGAACUGAUAUAGUCCAUCUUUAAGAAUGCCCUUGAGAAGAGUGACCUUGGUUGCCUGGUCCUUAACAAGACAAAAGUUAGGAUGAAACUCAAAAAAGGCAUUAUUAUCAUGGGCAAACUGAGAAACACUAAGAAGAUUCUUGGUGAUAUGAGGAACAUGUAAGAGAUCUUUAAGAAUGAAAUGUUUGGGAUUAGAAGAAGAUUUAAGAAGAGAAUGACCAAUAUGAGCAAUAUUAACAAGUGAACCAUAUCCCAUUUGUAAAUGCUUACCACCGUGAUAUUCAGAGACAGAAUGGAGAGAGUUGAAGUCAUGAGACACAUGGUUUGUAGCUCCAGAAUCAGGGUACCAGGUGGUAACACUUCCAUUAUCAAAGUUAUAGUCAGACAUAGAGGAGGCUGAUGGAAGUUGAGCCAUGUUCAAACCUGGUUGUUGCUGAAAAUGUGGCUGAAAGUUUGACUGUGGAAAGUUGUGCUGCUGAGCAGGAGGUGGCCUUAUGUUGUUGUUGUUUCUAGGUGUAGGAACAAAGUUUGGUUCAAAUCUGUGCCAACAUCUAUCUGCCGUAUGACCAGUAAUCCCACAGACUUGGCAUACCGGUUUAUUUCCUCCAUAUCUGCCACCGGAUCUGCCGCCUCCUCUAUUGCCUCGGCCUCUACCUCCAAAACCUCCUCGGGACUGGUAAGAAUUCCCUUGAAAACCUUUUCCUUUGCCUGAACUUCCAUUAGAAGGAGCAUUCAUAUGUGUUCCAGAAGAAGCAUACAUAAUUAGCAGAAGGUUGUGAACCUUCAUUGUUCACCAUUUGAGGUUUGGCAGAUUCAACCCUGCUCUCAAAGCUUAAAAGAAGAGAACUAACAUCACCAAGAGACCAAACUUCAGGUUUGGAAGUGAUGGUGACCAUGACUGAAUCAUAUUCAGAUCCGAGUCCAGAAAGAAUGUGCAUAAUAUAAUCUGAUCUUCUUCGUCUACAAGAUAACCAGCUGAGCCCAGCAAAUCGCAGCACGUUUUGAUUUUGCUGAGAUAUUCUCUCAUGGGUAAGGCUUCAUUUUUUAGUGUCUGCAGAUGUAGCUUAUAUUGCAUAACCUUGGCCUUUGAUUGAUUUGAGAAAUUCUGAAGGAGAGAACUCCAGAUCUCCUUGCUAGUGGUUAAGCCAACCACCAAAAUCAUGGUGCUUUCGCUGAGAGAAGAUUGGAUCCAUGCCGAAAGAAGUUGAUCCUGUCGGAUCCAAGUUGAAUAUUCUGGCAAAUUGGAAGAAGGUGGCUCGUCGGUGAGAUAUUUCUCAAGACCAAGGCCGCGCACGUUAGCCAUAACUUGUUGCUUCCAGAUAAGAAAGUUGGUGUCAUUUAACUUGACUGAAAUUUGGUUGUUUUGGGGAAUAAUGGGAAUCCGUGAUGAAGUUUGAUUUGUUGUUUCAGCCAUGAUGUAGACGUGACAGGAGGGAUAGAAAGAAAAGAAAAAUGGUCAAGAGACAGGUCCUCAAUCGGCCUGCUCUGAUACCAUGAUAAGAAAUGAGGAAAAACAGAAACAAACAAAAGUAGAAGAACAGUUGAGAGUAGCCAUGGGAGUAAUAACUUCUGUAUUCAAGUAUUUUACGGCUUCACCAGGAAGAUCACUAUUACAUGGUAUAUAUAUCAGUCCAUCGAACCUACUAGAAUAACAAAGGCAGCUAACCCUAGAGGAAGCAAUGGAACAGUACAAUGCAUGAAGACAAAACUACUUAAUGUAAAAGCAAAAGCAGAACAGCUACACAAAGCUAUUCAGAAUGAAGGCACGUGCUAAACUUCAUGCUUCAGCUUUGAAUAUUUCUUCACUUCAUGUUGAGAUCUGAA
rnacentral:lncRNA from 1 species